rnacentral:rRNA from 1 species
GGAAAGAUGCAAAGAACUUUGAAAAGAGAGUUAAAGAGUACCUGAAAUUGCUGAAAGGGAAGCGAAGGAAACCAGUGCUUGGCUUGGUCAUAUUUCUCGAAUCGCUUGCGGUUUGGGCGCUGUGUCGUUGCCUUUGUCAUUUUUGCUUGUUCUCGGCGGAAACGUGUGUUCGGGAGGUAGCGCUUGCGUGAUACCGUUCACAUUAUUGCUGGGUUUGAGUGAGGCUGACGAAAUGGUUUUCUUUACCCCGUCUAGUAACACGGACCAAGGAGUCUAACAUAUGUGCGAGUACAGGGGUGGCAAACCCCCGUGCGCAAUGAAAGUGACAGUGGUUGGACCUUUUGGGCACAAUCCGCCGGCCUCAAUCCUUCGGGAGAACGGUCUGAGUGUGAGCAUACAUGUUGGGACCCGAAAGAUGG